rnacentral:rRNA from 1 species
UACGGGGGGGGCAAGCGUUGUUCGGAAUUACUGGGCGUAAAGGGCGCGUAGGCGGCCCGCUAAGUCGAACGUGAAAUCCCUGGGCUCAACCCAGGAACUGCGUCCGAUACUGGCAGGCUUGAAUCCGGGAGAGGGAUGUGGAAUUCCAGGUGUAGCGGUGAAAUGCGUAGAUAUCUGGAGGAACACCGGUGGCGAAGGCGGCGUCCUGGACCAAUUCUGACACUGAGGAGCGAAAGCCAGGGGAGCAAACGGG